CGUUUGCACUUAAUCAUAGUUAACUUUAAUCACUUUUUUAUAAAACCGGCCCCUGGUAAGAAGAAAACAAAAAUUUGCUUCGAAAAAGACAAACAAGCCGUCCCAGAUUAAAACCCGGAAGUGAACGCGAGGUGCAUACGUCAUUUUAACGUCGUCUUUGAGGUCGCGUCUUUUCUAAAUCUGUCUAAUAAUUGUCCGGGACGGCAAUGGGUCUGACACUGAGGUUCGGAGAAUUGUUAUUGUUAAACGUCAGUGCCAUUGUCUGGAUAAGGUGUUUACAGGCAUAGUGAUUCACAAAUCAGCGAUCAGAAAUAGCUCAGUCAGUCUUAUAUUUAUUGUAUAAUUUUAUUUUAGGAUAAGAUUAUUUAAAUAGAUUUUUGGUUCAUAGUAUAUCAUAUACAAGAAAUAUAUGUAGUCAAAUAUUAUGCUUCAUAGACAAGUAAAUAUACAACAAUAUUAUUAAUAUACAGAAGCCAUUCUGCAAAGUUCCAAAAAUAAAAAAUAAAAAAUUUUACGAGACAGCCGCCCCUUUUAGGCCAUUAAAUGUUAACUCUAAACUUUUCGUAAAUCAUCUAUGUCUAUUAAAACUUUUAUUAAGAGAACGAAAUUUUGCAGUAUGUCUUGACUGUGUUUUGCUGAUAAUAUCUAAUUAAUAUAUCUAACAUUAUCAGGCCGUAUAUAACUAUUAGACUACAGUUUACGUUGUUGAUCUCGAGGAGUUGUCUGUAACUGUGUCGGUUUCAGGUGUAGAUUUUAGCGUUCUCUGAUAACUAAACAGAACAUAGAAUGAAAAGUGUUCGAGCGGAUGAUUAUAUACAAUAUUCAGACCUAACCAAGGCCCUCUGCAUAGCAGGAACCGAACCUGCAGCCCUGCGACUCUGGUGCAGUGCUCUAACGAACUGAGCUACAGAGUCCAGUUGACGAGCAUUAAAGGAUUAGUGUCACACCAGGAAUUCGCGGGCUCAAACUCCUGCUGGCGGCCAUUUUUCGGGACGAAUAGAUUAGAUCUUGAAAGUUUUUACAAUCCGUCAUAUAUUUAAACCAUCCUUUUAUAAUUCUUGCUGUUUUUGUCUGAUUUUUACCAGAAAUGUACCAAACAAGGUAUUUUUAUCGCUAUUUGUUGUAUUUGAGUAAAAUGUAAACAAUAACAAAAGCCCGCAAUGCAUGACCCUGACACUAAUCCUUUAAAGAACGUUCUUGCAUGCAUGUAAAGAUAUAGUGGGUGAUGGAAGUCCUAUCGAGCGAGAUGUCUAAAAUCUUGCUUUUUGUUUCUGCAUGCGCGAUUGGGCAGACUAAAACAUUAUCGCAAGAAUAUUGGAUUAUUUCUUGCCAUAGGCCCACAUUAAUGUCAUUAAAAGCCUUUUAAGGGAUGUGAAAUAAAAAAAUACAAUACAUUGCUGAAUGACUUCCACCACAGUUAUUUUAAUAGAUGGUUUGGAGACUCGAUGAAAGUACAAUAUUAAUAACUUACUGACCGAGAGUGAGGGCAUGAGUACGGGAAAAUAUCCAACCGAGGUCUUGCUGCUGUAUUGACCGAGCGAUAGCGAGGUCAAUACAGCAAGACCGAGGUUGGAUAUUUUCCCGUAC
rnacentral:lncRNA from 1 species